rnacentral:rRNA from 1 species
GAUGAACGCUGGCGGCGUGCCUAAUACAUGCAAGUCGAGCGAACAGACUAGGAACUUGCUCCUCUUACGUUAGCGGCGAACGGGUGAGUAACACGUGGAUAACCUACCUAUAAGACUGGGAUAACUUCUGGAAACCGGAGCUAAUACCGGAUAAUAUAUUUAACCGCAUGGUUUAAUAUUGAAAGACGGUUUUGCUUUCACUUAUAGUUGUAUCCGCGCCGCAUUAGCUAGUUGGUAAGGUAACGGCUUACCAAGGCAACGAUGAGUAGCCGACCUGAGAGGGUGAUCGGCAACACUGGAACUGAGAAACGGUCAAGACUCCUACGGGAGGCAGCAGUAGGGAAUCUUCCGAAAUGGGCGAAAGCUUGACGGAGAAGCGCCGCGUGAGUGAUGAAGGUCUUCGGAUCGUAAAACUCUGUUAUUAGGGAAGAACAAAUGUGUAAGUAACUAUGCACGUAUUGACGGUACCUAAUCAGAAAGCCACGGCUAACUACGUG